rnacentral:rRNA from 1 species
UACAGGGGGUGCAAACGUUGCUCGGAAUCAUUGGGCGUAAAGCGCACGUAGGCGGUCUGUUAUGUCGGAUGUGAAAGCCCUUGGCUCAACCGAGGAAGUGCAUCCGAAACUGGCAGGCUAGAGUACUAAAGAGGAUCGCGGAAUUCCCGGUGUAGAGGUGAAAUUCGUAGAUAUCGGGAGGAACACCGGUGGCGAAGGCGGCGAUCUGGGUAGAUACUGACGCUGAGGUGCGAAAGCGUGGGGAGCAAACAGGG